AUAAUUAAGAAAAUUACAAUCUUAAUUAGAUGUAAUCACCAAAUUUAGCAAAACACUAAUAGCGCUUAAGUUCUUGAGCCUUACUCUUUCUGCUAAGCUAUGGCUAUCUGUCGCUUGGCCUCUACGAGCUCGGACGUGAACGUAUGGAAGCUUCUCUGCAUCAUCUUCUGAGGCAUAACGAUACUGAAUCGGGUGGGCUUUAGUGUGGGGACCGGAUGCUUACCCAACCCAACACUGUUUUAAUCACAGUGGAUGAUCCGUCACUUUCGAUACAUUUAUUUGGUUUUAUAUACUCUUUUCAUUUCCAUUUUUCCUUAUUUUUUAGCGUUCUUCUUAUACAUUUCUAGUAUCAUUCCUAUUACAUUUACUUAGCAGUUUCUAAACAGUUGAUGUCUUGAUUUUAUUCCUGAUAUAUGUGGAUUCCAAGUUCAAUCUUA